rnacentral:rRNA from 1 species
UACGUAGGGUCCGAGCGUUGUCCGGAAUUACUGGGCGUAAAGAGCUCGUAGGUGGUUUGUCGCGUUGUUCGUGAAAACUCACAGCUCAACUGUGGGCGUGCGGGCGAUACGGGCAGACUAGAGUACUGCAGGGGAGACUGGAAUUCCUGGUGUAGCGGUGGAAUGCGCAGAUAUCAGGAGGAACACCGAUGGCGAAGGCAGAUCUCUGGGCCGUAACUGACGCUGAGGAGCGAAAGCCAGGGGAGCAAACGGG